rnacentral:rRNA from 1 species
AUUGAACGCUGGCGGCAUGCUUUACACAUGCAAGUCGAACGGUAACAGGUUAAGCUGACGAGUGGCGAACGGGUGAGUAAUGCAUCGGAACGUGCCCGAUCGUGGGGGAUAACGCAGCGAAAGCUGCGCUAAUACCGCAUACGAUCUGAGGAUGAAAGCGGGGGACCGUAAGGCCUCGCGCGAUCGGAGCGGCCGAUGUCAGAUUAGGUAGUUGGUGGGGUAAAGGCUCACCAAGCCGACGAGCUGGAGCUGGACUGAGAGGACGACCAGCCACACUGGGACUGAGGCACGGCCCAGACUCCUACGGGAGGCAGCAGUGGGGAAUUUUGGACAAUGGGCGAAAGCCUGAUCCAGCAAUGCCGCGUGCAGGAAGAAGGCCUUCGGGUUGUAAACUGCUUUUGUACGGAGCGAAAAGGCUCUCUCUAAUACAGGGGGCUCAUGACGGUACCGUAAGAAUAAGCACCGGCUAACUACGUGCCAGCAGCCGCAGUAA